GUGACCUCCGUCCCUACCGGGAGGACCAGGGCGGGCCGGCGAGGUCGAGGGGGACCCGCGGAACUGAGGGAGGUCCCAGGGGGCAGUGAGGGAGGAUCCAUGGGCGCUGAGGUGGGAAUCUAGGGAGGCUGAGGGAGGAUCUGUGGGGAUGACGGAAGUUCAAGGGGGGCUGAAGAGGCACGCAGCGGGCUGAGGAGGACCUGAGAGGCUGAAGGAGGAUCCGAAAGGCUGAUACAGCGGGGCUGAGGGGGGAUCCGCGGGGUUGGCGGGGGCUGAGAAAUGACCCUGUAGUUCACAGCAAAAUGGAGUAAUUUAUGUCACAACGUAACCAAAAUGGAGUGGGGAGGGCCCUAAGGAAGCAGCUGUCACGCAUUUCUGAAAUGCCAGAGAGGCUCGCUAUUACCUUGUAAACAGAGCUUAUUCCGGGCAUUUCCACUGGCCUGCAGUAUUCCAGAUGAGAUGUUUGGACCAGGGCAGGCAGAUAGCAUCGCCUAUCUGCCUCAGCGAACCAGGGUCACUUUGUGCAAUGAGUUCAUGAGACCAGGGCCUUUGUUUUGUGAAAGUUACAAAUAAGGAGUGAAAUCACUUUGUCAGGCCCAGACAAACAGGGCUGGGAAGAACAGGAGGCUCAGGCUUAGUGUCUGAGAUAAGAAUUAUUCGCAAGGACUUUCUAAAAACCCCACAAGAAACCCUUUUGUGUCAUUCACGGGUCUCCUACUUUGACAAAAUUUAGACCAUCUUUAGGACUGCAGUAAUUCAGUUAAGAUGCUCGGAAUAAACACUUGCCCAGUAAUGGCAGCGCCACCAAUGAACUGAGGACAACUUUGAGCUUUGGCGUUGGGCCCCUGGAACCAAUGAACUCUUUCUAAGCAGCUUCUGUGAACCGCUCCCUUUUCGCUGAUAAAAGUUCCCUUUUCACUGAUAAAAAGUUCCCUUUACCCUUCCCUCACUGGGAAUGCUGGUGGCUUGCUGCUGUUGAUGAAAAGAGUCAAACUUUGUAAAAUAUUUUAAGAGAUAUAUUCUGAGCCAAAUAUGAGUAACCAUGGCCUGUGACACAGCCCUCAGGACAGAGGUCCUGAGAACAUGUUCCCAAGGUGGUUGGGGUGCAGCUUGGUUUUAUACAUUUUAGGGAGGCAUGAGACAUCAAUCAAAUACAUUUAAAACCUACAUUGGUUUGGUUCAGAAAGGCAGGACAACUCGAAGCAGGGGUCAAGGGUGCUGGCUUCCAGCUUAUAGGUAGAUUGAAAAAUUUUCUGUUUGACAAUUGGUUGAAUUUACCUGAAGACCUGGGAUUAACAGAAAGGAAUGUCUGGGUUAAGAUAAAAGAUUGUGGGUGGGGUGCAGUGGCUCACACCUGUAAUCCCAGCACUUUGGGAGGCUAAGGCAGGCGGAUCACGAGGUCAGGAGUUCGAGACCAGCCUGACCAACAUGGUGAAACCUCCUCUCUACUAAAAAUACAAAAAUUAGCUGGGCGUGGUGGUGUGUGCCUGUAAUCCCAGUUACUCAGGAGGCUGAGGCAGAAGAAUCACUUCAGCCCAGGAGGCGGAGGUUGAAGUGAGCCGAGAUUGCGCCACUGCACUCCAGCUUAGGCAAUAGAGUGAGACUCCAUCUAAAAAAAAAAAAAAAGGAAAGAAAAAAAAAUAUAUAUAUAUAUGAUUGUGGAGACCAAAGUUCUUAUUUGCAGAUGAAGCCUUCAGGUAUUAGGCUUCAGAGAGAAUAGGUUGUAAAAUGUUUAUCGGACUUAAAGUCUAUGUUGAUGUUAAUGCCAGAGAGGUAUAAUGAGGCAUGUCUGACCCCCACUUCUUAUGGCCUGAACCAGUCUUUGAGGUUAAAUUUUAAGAGUUCCAGGCCAGGCACAGUGGCUGACACCUGUAAUCCCAACACUUUGGGAGGCAGAGGUGGGCGAAUCACUUCAGGUCAGGAGUUCGAGACCAGCCUGGCCAACAUGGUGAAACCCGGUCUCCACUAAAAAAUAUACAAAAAUUAGCCAGGCAUGGUGGUGCGCACCUGUAAUCCCAGCUACUCAGGAGGCUGAGGCAGGAGAAUCACUUGAACCUGGGAGGCAGAGGUUGCAGUGAGCAGAGAUCGCACCACUGCACUCCAGCCUGGGUGACAGAGCAAGACUCCGUCAAAAAAAAAAAAUUUUUUUUAAGAGUUCCCUGGCCGAGGAGGAAGUCCAUUUAGAUGGCUGGGGAGCCUUAUAAAUUUAUUUUUUAUUUUUGGUUUACACUUGAUAAAAACUUCAGCCGAAUUAAAUUUAAAGUUUAAUUGAGCAAUGAAUGAUUCACGAAUCACGCAGCCCCCAGAAUCACAGCAGAUUCACAGAGACUCCAGCACAGCCACGUGGUGGAAGAUUCGUAGACAAAAAAAGGUAAAUGAUGUACAGAAAUUGAAAGUAAAGUACAAAACAGCUGGAUUGGUUUCAGGUUGGUGUUUGCCGUAUUUGAACACAGUUUGAACGCUCAGCAGUAUAUGAAUAGUUGAAGUGCAGCCUCUGGGAUUGGCCAAGACGCAGCUAUUGUUACAGUUGCAUACUCCUGUUAGGUUUUCAAUCUAUCUACCUAUUAAGCUAGGUUGCAGUUCAUCCACAAGGACUCAAAUAUAAAAAUAUGAAGUCCUUCUCAGGCCAUAUUUAGUUUGCUUCAGCAACUACCCUCUUUUGGUCAUUUUCUCAAUUUUGAGAGAUUGACCAAAACUUUAGUUGUUGUCACUAUCACCAUAGUAAAUGUACUUAUUUGCUCCUGAAAUCCAGUGGGAAACAGUAGAACAAUGAGUUUUCCAAAGGUAGGAACAAAGACUGAGUAGAGGGUACCUCUUUAUGCUGGAACAUCCUGUUUACAGGAGAAAAAACCUGGUCUGUUCUAGGAUUUAUAUGUAUCCUUAGUUUGAUUAUGUCACAUUUAGCAUGAGUGACUCCAUUUUAGUUUGGUUUGUCCUGUUGGGACCUAGUGCAUGAGCUUAGUCCAAAACAAUGGCCUCCCAUAAUUGUGUUUUUUAAAAAAUUCCCCCUUUUUGGUCAGGUUCUUACUUAGGUGAGAGUGUGACCAAAACUUGGGGCCUUAGCACCACUCUCUGUUACCAUCAUUUUGUGUUUCUGGUGUCAGCACAUCGUUCAUAGGUUAUGGUAUCCUCAUGGUCACAUAUUUCUUUCAGCUCUUUCAUUCCAGUUGAAGAGAGACCAUUUGACGUUCUAGAGAUAGCUGUGUGCAAUCAUUUAAAAUCUUUGAGAGAAUACAGUGCACCAGGGAGACUAUUAUUAUGCCUAUUGGGAGCAUAAUACCAAGAGUUUGGAGUAUGCUCCUUACCCAGGGUCCCCAUAAACCAAACCACCUAAAAUUAAAUAGAUUAAAGAAUGAGUGAGAUGAAGGGUCUACUUGCUUGACUAAGUGAUCUUUUCAUUAAUCUUCUACAACUGAAUUUUUAUAAUCUACAUUUAAUGUAUUCCUCCAUAGGCCACAGCUGCCAGCAGCUGCACAGGUACUUUUCUAUUUAACUAAUUCUAUUAUUUAGCAUAACUUUCACAAGAGAAUUUAAAGUCUGUUGUGUAACGAUAGUCUUUACAGUAGAAUCUGCUAGAAAGCCUAUUAUGAGGGAUAUAUUUCUAGUUAUUGCCUAUUUUAUUCUAAACGAUGGAAAAAGGACCUAACAAAUGAUGUCCUUUUAGAAAAGUGAAGGCCCCCUGACAAUGUUCUCUUUAACCCAUGAUGUGGGUUAAGAGGAGUUUUUACUGAUUAUGAGGAAAUAUAUGUACAAUUAAAGUUUUUCACCUACAUUGGGCCUUCGUCUUGUCUUUAUCAAAGUAUAAGUUUAUUCAUGUAUAAGGCUGGCUACAAAAUCCUUCACAAAUAAAAGUAUACCUUAUAACUGAACAUAAUAGAACCCCUUUUCAUUUCUAUUAUUCAUAGAGGCAUAAACAAGGAAAAAAAUAUUCAAAGAUAAGAGUCUCAUUAUAGAAGCCUUGAUCCAUGAUCAUGGGAAAAGCUGUUCACAUCAAGGAUGCCAUCUUCUUCUGGGAAGAAACUUUCUGGGUUAGUUUUACCUUAAGGAUUCCAAUGGGUGUACAGUUCCAAGAGUGUAGAGGGACCCCUUUCAGUUGUUUAUGAACCCAAGGUUCAAGGUUCCAAAGUUUUGUUGCAGUGUAGAAGGACAGUCUUUCUCUGAUGUUCUCAGAAGAGUCAGUCUUCAGGUUCUGGAUUGUGAAGGGGUUGAUUGUCCUCAGUGAACCAUAAAAAGUUUUCUUUAUCUGGUGAAAAUAUACUCUGGCAUAAUAAUUAGCUGUUAUAACAUAAAACAUGCAUUGAAAAUGACAGUGGAAUGAAAUUCAUUUAUACAUGUUUAAAUGACCCAUCAGGUAGCCAAAUGUACCUGAAGGUUUGAUUACCUUCCCAGGAAUAUGGAACCAACCAUUGGUUUUAUUUUAUUUUAUUUUAUUUUGAGAUGGAGUCUCACUCUAUUGCCCAGGCUGGAGUGCAGGGGCAUGAUCUUGGCUCACUGCAGCCUCCACCUCCCGGGUUCAAGCGAUUCUCCUGCCUCAGCCUCCUGCGUAGCUGGGACUGUAGGCACCCGCCACCACGCCCAGCUAAUUUUUACAUUUUUAGUAGAGACAGGGUUUCACCAUAUUGGCCAGGCUGGUCUUGAACUCCUGACUUUGUGAUCCACCCACCUCAGCCUCCCAAAGUGAUGGGAUUACAGGCAUGAGCCACCAUGCCCAGCUGUGUUUUUUUUUUACAAGAAUCAUCUGCUUAUUUAUUUUACAAAGUAAUUAUUUAAAUUGAGUACAUUUGGGCACAGUAGAUAUUGGACAUGAAAAGUAUUUGUAUCAGAAUGGGCAUCAGAAAAAUAGCAACUCAUCUUACACAUAAUAACUAGAAAAUAUUAUUCUGUCUGAUCAUUUAAGUGUUACAAAUCCUGAGAAUGUUAUACACUGAACAAAUUAGGUACUACCUUAAAAUUAAAUCUUGCUUGGAAAUAAUCCUUUAAAAAUGAUCUGAGGUACAAAUCAUCUAUGUAUUAAACGUGAGUCUUUGACAUUAUACAAAGAGUUUAAACAAAUAUAUAAAUUACAGGUCAGUGGCUCUUAAAAUAGCUACCAGUCAGGUUCAAGGACACACUGUUCCGCAAUUUCCCAUAAGCUGGGGUUUUCCAUUGCAG
rnacentral:lncRNA from 1 species